rnacentral:rRNA from 1 species
GACGAACGCUGGCGGCGUGCCUAAUACAUGCAAGUAGAACGCUGAAGGAGGAGCUUGCUUCUCUGGAUGAGUUGCGAACGGGUGAGUAACGCGUAGGUAACCUGCCUGGUAGCGGGGGAUAACUAUUGGAAACGAUAGCUAAUACCGCAUAAUAUUGACUAUUGCAUGAUAGUCAGUUGAAAGGUGCAACUGCACCACUACCAGAUGGACCUGCGUUGUAUUAGCUAGUUGGUGGGGUAACGGCUCACCAAGGCGACGAUACAUAGCCGACCUGAGAGGGGGGUCGGCCAAACUGGGACUGAGACACGGCCCAGACCCCUACGGGAGGCAGCAGUAGGGAAUCUUCGGCAAUGGACGGAAGUCUGACCGAGCAACGCCGCGGGAGGGAAGAAGGGUUUCGGAUCGUAAAGCUCGGUUGUAAGAGAAGAACGAGUGUGAGAGUGGAAAGCUCACACUGUGACGGUAUCUUAACAGAAAGGGACGGCUAACUACGUG